GACGAACGCUGGCGGCGUGCUUAACACAUGCAAGUCGAGCGGUAAGGCCCUUUCGGGGGUACGACGAGCGGCGAACGGGUGAGUAACACGUGGGUGACCUGCCUUUAGCUCUGGGAUAAGCCUGGGAAACUGGGUCUAAUACCGGAUAUGACUUCAUGACGCAUGUUGUGGAGUGGAAAGCCUUGUGCGGCUGAGGAUGGGCCCGCGGCCUAUCAGCUUGUUGGUGGGGUGAUGGCCUACCAAGGCGACGACGGUAGCCGGCCUGAGAGGGCGACCGGCCACACUGGGACUGAGACACGGCCCAGACUCCUACGGGAGGCAGCAGUGGGGAAUCUUGCGCAAUGGGCGAAAGCCUGACGCAGCGACGCCGCGUGAGGGAUGACGGCCU
rnacentral:rRNA from 1 species